rnacentral:tRNA from 1 species
GAAAUCGGUAGACGCUACGGACUUAAUUUUUGAGCCUUAGUCGAGAAAUCCACUAAGUGACUGUUUUCACAUUCAGGGAAACCUAAGGUUUGAGAUAUGAGGUAAUCCUGAGCCAAAUUUUAUUUAUGAAAUAGGUGCAGAGACUCAAAGGAAACUAUCCUAACGAAAAAUUUUUUCUUUAUUUUUUAUUAUGAGUAUUGAUUAAGUACACAACAUAAAAUAUAUUCAAAAUAAUAAAAGCAUUUGAAUACUUAAUAUGAAUAUUCGUUAAAUAACUUUUAUUUUAAUAAACGAGGGUAAAGAUAGAGUCCUUUUUUACAAUCUACAUAAUUUUUUGUUAUAGAUAAUUGUAAAAAGAAAAUCCGUUGGCUUUAAUAGACCUUGAGGGUUCAAGUCCCUCUACCCCCA